rnacentral:rRNA from 1 species
GACGGAGGGGGCUAGCGUUGUUCGGAAUGACUGGGCGUAAAGGGCGCGUAGGCGGUUUUUUAAGUGUGGCGUGAAAGCCCUGGGCUUAACCCAGGAGGUGCGUUUCAGGCUGGGGGACGUGUGUACGAGAGAGGAAAGUGGAAUUCCUAGUGUAGAGGUGAAAUUCGUAGAUAUUAGGAAGAACACCAGUGGCGAAGGCGGCUUUCUAGCUCGUAACUUACGCUGAGGCGCGAAAGCGUGGGGAGCAAACAGG